GACGAACGCUGGCGGCGUGCUUAACACAUGCAAGUCGAGCGGUAAGGCCCUUCGGGGUACACGAGCGGCGAACGGGUGAGUAACACGUGGGUAACCUGCCCUGUACUUCGGGAUAAGCCUGGGAAACUGGGUCUAAUACCGAAUAUGACUUCAUCACGCAUGUGGUGAGGUGGAAAGUUCCGGCGGUACAGGAUGGACCCGCGGCCUAUCAGCUUGUUGGUGGGGUGAUGGCCUACCAAGGCGACGACGGGUAGCCGGCCUGAGAGGGCGACCGGCC
rnacentral:rRNA from 1 species